CAGAGCGACAGUGACACCAAGGCGGGUCGGAAAACCAAGGAAAUUGAGGACCUUGUCACAGAGACGGUGAAAGGGAAACCUGAAAUGCAGACCACAGCUUCCCAGCAGAUGUUGAACUUCCCUGAUAAGAGCAAGGAGAAGCCUCCAGACAUGCAAAACUUUGGGCUGCGUACUGACAUGUACACCAAGAAGAAUGCUCCCUCCAAGAGCAAAGCUGCUGCCAGCGCCACUCGGGAGUGGACCGAGCAGGAGACGCUGCUGCUGCUGGAGG